UACGUAGGGAGCAAGCGUUGUCCGGAAUCAUUGGGCGUAAAGAGCGUGUAGGCGGCCCGAUAAGUCCGCUGUGAAAGUCCAGGGCUCAACCCUGGAAUGCCGGUGGAUACUGUCGGGCUCGAAUCCGGAAGAGGUGAGUGGAAUCCUGGUGUAGCGGUGAAAUGCGCAGAUAUCAGGAGGAACACCAAUGGCGAAGGCAGCUCACUGGGACGGUAUUGACGCUGAGACGCGAAAGCGUGGGGAGCAAACAGG
rnacentral:rRNA from 1 species